rnacentral:misc_RNA from 1 species
UCUCCGUUGGUGAACCAGCGGAGGGAUCAUUACAGGAUCGAAAGACUCCUAUAACCCCUGUGAACUUACUACAAAUACGUUGCUUCGGCGGGUGCCCCGGGUCUCCCGGGGCGUUCAGCCCGCCGGCAGCCUUCAAAUUCUGUUUCUUUGCGUUGGCAUCUCGAGUAUACAAAAACAAGUUAAAACUUUCAACAACGGAUCUCUUGGUUCUG